AGCUUUGUGCAGUGGCAAUAUCAUAGCCAAUGAGGUUUAUCCGAGGCGCAAUUAAUGCUAAUUGAAAAAAAAAAACCCAAAAUAUAAAAUCUUAAUCUCCACAAUACACUUUUUAUUAAGGUUUCAUUAUAUCCAUUUUAUAGAAAG